CCUACGGGGGGCAGCAGUAGGGAAUCUUCCGCAAUGGACGAAAGUCUGACGGAGCAACGCCGCGUGAGUGAAGAAGGUUUUCGGAUCGUAAAACUCUGUUGUUAAAGAAGAACAAGGAUGAGAGUAACUGCUCAUCCCCUGACGGUAUUUAACCAGAAAGCCACGGCUAACUACGUGCCAGCAGCCGCGGUAAUACGUAGGUGGCAAGCGUUGUCCGGAUUUAUUGGGCGUAAAGCGAGCGCAGGCGGUUCUUUAAGUCUGAUGUGAAAGCCCCCGGCUCAACCGGGGAGGGUCAUUGGAAACUGGAGAACUUGAGUGCAGAAGAGGAGAGUGGAAUUCCACGUGUAGCGGUGAAAUGCGUAGAUAUGUGGAGGAACACCAGUGGCGAAGGCGACUCUCUGGUCUGUAACUGACGCUGAGGCUCGAAAGCGUGGGGAGCAAACAGGAUUAGAUACCCCCGUAGUCC
rnacentral:rRNA from 1 species